rnacentral:rRNA from 1 species
UACGUAGGGUGCAAGCGUUAAUCGGAAUUACUGGGCGUAAAGCGUGCGCAGGCGGUUCUAUAAGACAGAUGUGAAAUCCCCGGGCUCAACCUGGGAACUGCAUUUGUGACUGUAGAGCUGGAGUACGGCAGAGGGGGGAUGGAAUUCCGCGUGUAGCAGUGAAAAUGCGUAGAUAUGCGGAGGAACACCGAUGGCGAAGGCAAUCCCCCUGGGCCUGUACUGACGCUCAUGCACGAAAGCGUGGGGAGCAAACAGG